UACGUAGGGGGCAAGCGUUAUCCGGAAUUACUGGGUGUAAAGGGAGCGUAGACGGUGAUGUAAGUCUGGAGUGAAAGGCAUGGGCUCAACCUGUGGACUGCUUUGGAAACUGUGCAGCUGGAGUGCAGGAGAGGUAAGCGGAAUUCCUAGUGUAGCGGUGAAAUGCGUAGAUAUUAGGAGGAACACCAGUGGCGAAGGCGGCUUACUGGACUGUAACUGACGUUGAGGCUCGAAAGCGUGGGGAGCAAACAGG
rnacentral:rRNA from 1 species